rnacentral:rRNA from 1 species
UGUUGCUGGUCCUCAACAGGGGACAUGUGCACGCUCUGUUUACACAUCCACUCACACCUGUGCACCCUCUGUAGUUCUAUGGUCUGGGGGGCUCUGCCUCCCUUCUGUGGUUCUGCAUCUUUACACACACACUGUAACAAAGUUUUAUGGAAUGUACAUCGCGUUUAACGCAAUAUAAUACAACUUUCAGCAACGGAUCUCUUGGCUCUCGCAUCGAUGAAGAACGCAGCGAAAUGCGAUAAGUAAUGUGAAUUGCAGAAUUCAGUGAAUCAUCGAAUCUUUGAACGCACCUUGCGCCCCUUGGCUAUUCCGAAGGGCAUGCCUGUUUGAGUAUCAUGAACACCUCAACUCCCAUGGUUCGCCAUGGUGAGCUUGGACUUUGGGGGUUUUGCUGGCCCAUGGUCAGCUCCUCUCAAAUGAAUUAGCCUGCCAGUGUUUGGUGGCAUCACAGGUGUGAUAAAUAUCUACGCUUGCGAUUGCCCACCAUGUAACCUUCAGCAAUGGGGGUUCGCUGGGGCUCAUAGACGUCUCUCCCUAAGUGAGGACAGUUUUUUAACGUUCGAUCUCAAAUCAGGUAGGACUACCCGCUGAACUUAAGCAUAUCAA